rnacentral:lncRNA from 1 species
CAGGCAUAUUGUUCUCCCGCCAUUUAUUAUUCCACUGAAUCAUAAAUAAUUUUUUUUUAUAAACAGGGACCCUGGUGGUUAGGUAGGUCCCAGUAAGUGUGCCCCAUCUCUAAGAAAGAAAAUUACGAGAUUAAGGCUAGCCCGAAGAUGAUGAAGGUUGUUAAGACGACAACGGAGAUUAAUGAUGCCUUCUCCAAACUCGCAUGCAGGACAUGGUUUCGGAGCCAUUACUGAAUUUGAAGAGUGAAGAAGGUAGCUGGAGCGAGAUCGAAGAAAAUUUGAAAAUUCGAGGAAAUGUGUUAGCGCUAGGGAUUAAGCUUGUUGAAGAUAAUGGCCGAAGAGGUUAAAGUGGAAGUUAUAUAGAUGAGCAGGUAGUUAACGUUGGAAGUCGUGGGUUAGUGCAAAGGUUUAGUUAAAAUGGCUCAGAUAAAAGGCGCUAAUACCCAGCUUCGGACAACAUGUAAUUUUAAUCAUUAUCAAUGUCUUGAUUAGCAGACAUAAUAAUUAUUAAAGGGGGCACUGUUUGGGUGGAUAUUUAAUAUUGGGCUCAAGCCAAGUGAAGGCCCAGGUGUCUAUAAAUCAGAGAAGAAUUGGGUUAGGAAAGAUGGCAGCCCAAGAUGAAUUUAAAACCAUUUUCUGGCAAUUAAUAGGCAAUAAGCCUAUGUGAGGUGACAAACGGUAAAGGACAGCUCACCCUCAGCGAAAAAGUACUUUUUCAUGGCAUGGGUAGGUAAUUAACAAAAGCAGAUGAUGACUCACCAUGCUCUAGAAGCCAUCACCAAAAAGGAAGGCUUGGACAAUCGGGCUAGGAAAGUCCAUAAAAGCAAGGAAGGGCAUAAGCAUAAACUCUCUCUCAACCAAUCAAUCAAGCAACUAUCAGUACACUUAAACUAGAAAAAACUUUAGUUUGUUCAUCCCUUGUCCUUUUCAAGUCUCAGGUCCACCAUAGAAAGCUUUCUUUUGUCUGAUUUUAGAAGCUCUACUACCCUUCAUUUUGUUGUAGUAUCAAAUCUCUUUAGUAAACCUUGUUUAUAUUUCAUUUUCCAAAGAUCCCAGUCAUUGUAAAAUACAAGGAAAGGUGUCCGCAAGA